rnacentral:lncRNA from 1 species
CAAGAUCGGCAACUACCAGAGUUGUGAUUGACAACAACAUGCUCAGACGAGUGUCCAAACGAGGCACGGGCCCCUCAAUAGGAUCCCUCUCCUAUAAGGUAAAUGCUAUUUUCUUUUAAACAAGAACUUUCAUAUUUCAUAGUACAAAAAUAAGAAACAGCUUAUAUUUUUUUCUCACUCUCUGAACAAGGCGUAGAGCAGCCAUCCAAAGUCCUAGAAAUAUCGCGUGCCAAGAAGUGAUAUGAAUUGCUUGAAGGGACUUAACUAGACCUGCAUAAAUAUGACAAUCUCUUAGGCAAUAGUACAACGAUAGAACUUAAGAAAAAAAAAUGUACUUUUUCUUUUUUACCUGUGAUAAUUUCUAUGGCGCUUGUGGCAUUGACUUGUGAACCAUCCAUUGCAUCUUCUAGAAGCAUAUCAAGAGGAAGCCAAAGAGCAGAUUGACUAGUCCCGAUACAGAGACCAGCAGAGUUAACGAGGGGCGUGGCUUGUACAACUGGAUGGACCUUAAUCUUGUGAGUGUCCGAUAUUAACUUCAGAAGAAUUUCCGGUGAAAUACAUUUCGAGUUUCUCAGAGCGGAUGAAUGUUCUAGAAGCAGCUGCAUUCGCUGUAUCAAGCUUUCCCAGUGCGUGCACCUGAGAAGAAAAG